rnacentral:lncRNA from 1 species
AGAGGCGGUCGCACAAGGGCGAGCUGGAGCACUAGUGGAGUUGGCGGGAAAGGCACGGCUGCGGGCGCCCCCUGUCCGCACGGAGGAGCCGAAGUCCCGCAGGGUGGGGUCCCCGCCUGCGCCGAGAGGGCCACCUGGUCGAGAGAACAGGCGACACGGAAACCUGAGAAACUCCUCUGUCUGGUGCACCUAACCCUCUUCCUCAUAAAGUGCACACGAACUCUGGUUUUUCCGUUGCAAAUUUUGCUUUCUACAUAGACCAUACCAUUCGUUGCUCUCUGAGGAUGAGCUCCUGGCUUCCCAGUCCAGCAGAAGUAUCUACAUCUAUUUCUGGAAAGGACCUGAACUUGGCUUCUCGUCCUUCUGGAAAGUGAGGCGAAAAUGCCAGGCUGCGCAGCUAUCCUGAGGCCCGGCCUGGAACCUGGCUAGCCACCCAGUCCUGAUACCUCAUCUCCUUUCUGUUGGAUAAAGUCAUUGGAUAAGAUCCCCCAGGGUCUUCUUAAUACUGAACAUCUGUUCAUAAUCACAUAAGUGACCAAGUAUAGUGGAAAACCCGAAUGGUCAACUGAGCUGAGCAGUGGGAGAGAGCGCAGGGCUUACCUCAUCCUUUAAGUAUUUGAGGAACUGGUGAACAAGUUAACUACUUUGAUAGUAAACGAGGAAAUUUCUUUAUAGAGAAAAGCAAAAUGUGGCCCAGCAGUGGACUCUCCCUUGCCAGCCUUGAGGAAGGAGCUGCCAUGUUGGAGGCUACCCUAUGGAGAAGCCCAUGUAGCAAGGACAUAAGGGUGGCUGGUGGCCCAGACAGAAAGGAGCUGAGGCUCUCGGCCCAACAGCCUGAAAAGAACUGAAGUUACACCCACAAUGACAUGACUUUGGAAGCAGAUCCCUGAGUCUUCAGAUGAGACCUCAGAACUGGCCAACACCUUGAUUGAAGCCCUAAUGAGAGACCCUGAAGUAGAGGGCCCUCCUAAGCCAUGCCUGGAUCCGUGACUCAUAGGAACUGUGAGGUAAUAAAUGUGUGCUGGUUGCUAAAUUUGUGGUAAUUUGUUAUCAGCAAUAGGUAGUUAAUAC